UACGAAGGGUGCUAGCGUUGUUCGGAAUCACUGGGCGUAAAGGGCGCGUAGGCGGCUUUUCAAGUCAGAGGUGAAAGCCCGGGGCUCAACCCCGGAAUUGCCUUUGAAACUGUAAAGCUUGAGUGUCGGAGGGGAUAGCGGAAUUGCUAAUGUAGAGGUGAAGUUCGUAGAUAUUAGCAGGAACACCGGUGGCGAAGGCGGCUAUCUGGACGACAACUGACGCUGAGGCGCGAAAGCGUGGGGAUCAAACAGG
rnacentral:rRNA from 1 species